rnacentral:rRNA from 1 species
CANGCGCGNCUANCAUGCAAGUCGAACGGAAAGGCCCUGCUUUUGUGGGGUGCUCGAGUGGCGAACGGGUGAGUAACACGUGAGUAACCUGCCCUUGACUUUGGGAUAACUUCAGGAAACUGGGGCUAAUACCGGAUAGGAGCUCCUGCUGCAUGGUGGGGGUUGGAAAGUUUCGGCGGUUGGGGAUGGACUCGCGGCUUAUCAGCUUGUUGGUGGGGUAGUGGCUUACCAAGGCUUUGACGGGUAGCCGGCCUGAGAGGGUGACCGGCCACAUUGGGACUGAGAUACGGCCCAGACUCCUACGGGAGGCAGCAGUGGGGAAUAUUGCACAAUGGGCGGAAGCCUGAUGCAGCAACGCCGCGUGCGGGAUGACGGCCUUCGGGUUGUAAACCGCUUUCGCCUGUGACGAAGCGUGAGUGACGGUAAUGGGUAAAGAAGCACCGGCUAACUACGUGCCAGCAGCCGCGGUGAUACGUAGGGUGCGAGCGUUGUCCGGAUUUAUUGGCCGAAAAGGGCUCGUAGGUGGUUGAUCGCGUCGGAAGUGUAAUCUUGGGGCUUAACCCUGAGCGUGCUUUCGAUACGGGUUGACUUGAGGAAGGUAGGGGAGAAUGGAAUUCCUGGUGGAGCGGUGGAAUGCGCAGAUAUCAGGAGGAACACCAGUGGCGAAGGCGGUUCUCUGGGCCUUUCCUGACGCUGAGGAGCGAAAGCGUGGGGAGCGAACAGGCUUAGAUACCCUGGUAGUCCACGCUGUAAACGGUGGGUACUAGGUGUGGGGUCCAUUCCACGGGUUCCGUGCCGUAGCUAACGCUUUAAGUACCCCGCCUGGGGAGUACGGCCGCAAGGCUAAAACUCAAAGGAAUUGACGGGGCCCCGCACAAGCGGCGGAGCAUGCGGAUUAAUUCGAUGCAACGCGUAGAAACUUACCUGGGUUUGACAUGGAUCGGGAGUGCUCAAAAAUGGGUGUGCCUCUUUUGGGGUCGGUUCACAGGUGGUGCAUGGCUGUCGUCAGCUCGUGUCGUGAGAUGUUGGGUUAAGUCCCGCAACGAGCGCAACCCUUGUUCACUGUUGCCAGCACGUUAUGGUGGGGACUCAGUGGAGACCGCCGGGGUCAACUCGGAGGAAGGUGGGGAUGACGUCAAGUCAUCAUGCCCCUUAUGUCCAGGGCUUCACGCAUGCUACAAUGGCUGGUACAGAGAGUGGCGAGCCUGUGAGGGUGAGCGAAUCUCGGAAAGCCGGUCUCAGUUCGGAUUGGGGUCUGCAACUCGACCUCAUGAAGUCGGAGUCGCUAGUAAUCGCAGAUCAGCAACGCUGCGGUGAAUACGUUCCCGGGGCUUGUACACACCGCCCGUCAAGUCAUGAAAGUUGGUAACACCCGAAGCCGGUGGCCUAACCCGUUGUGGGGAGCCUCAAGUGAC